rnacentral:rRNA from 1 species
ACUCCUACGGGAGGCAGCAGUGGGGAAUAUUGCACAAUGGGGAAACCCUGAUGCAGCCAUGCCGCGUGUGUGAAGAAGGCCUUGGUUGUAAAGCACUUUCAGUAGGGAGGAAGGUAGUGUAGUUAACACCUGCAUUAUUUGACGUUACCUACAGAAGAAGCACCGGCUAACUCCGUGCCAGCAGCCGCGGUAAUACGGAGGGGUGCGAGCGUUAAUCGGAAUUACUGGGCGUAAAGCGCAUGCAGGCGGCCUGUUAAGUCAGAUGUGAAAGCCCGGGGGCUUAACCUCGGAAUUGCAUUUGAAACUGGCAGGCUAGAGUCUUGUAGAGGGGGUAGAAUUUCAGGUGUAGCGGUGAAAUGCGUAGAGAUCUGAAGGAUACCAGU